AGAUUGAACGCUAGCGGCAUGCCUAACACAUGCAAGUCGAACGGUAACAGGCCCUUCGGGGUGCUGACGAGUGGCGGACGGGUGAGUAAUGCGUAGGAAUCUACCCACGAUGGGGGAUAGCCCGGAGAAUCCGGAUUAAUACCGCAUAUGCCCUACGGGGUAAAGACGGGGGAGUCGUAAGGCCGUCGCGCUGAAGGAGCGGCCGAUGUCCGAUUAGCUAGUUGGUGAGGGUAAAGGCUUACCAAGGCGACGAUCGGUAGCUGGUCUGAGA
rnacentral:rRNA from 1 species